AACCACAAUGGCGGCCCACCAUCUCCUCCUCCUCUGCCCUACCUCGCAGCCCGGUGUCGCCUGUCCGCACCCCCAGCAGCCGCAAGAUUGGGUCGCCAUCCCGCCGCACGAGCCAUACGCGUUGCUGCGACCAGCCACCACCCGAGUCCGCUGCAUAUUGGCAGGCACAACCGUCUCCCUUUGGUUGACUCCUUCAGUCGUCCGUCUACCCUGACACAGCCACCCGCUGGGCCGAGCGAGAUCGUCAUGACGCUUUGGAUCGGAGGCAUGCGGUAUUGGAUGGAGGAUAUAUAACUACAUCUACAGUUGAUCCGUGAGCAAGGGCGAGCAGCGCUGAACAGGAAAGCCUCCCCGCCACCAUUAGGGAGCUCUUGGUUGCACCGCAAGCUGCAAGGCCUUGUCAAAUCACUCAUGUCGCUUAACGGCUAUGGCCUCUCGCUGGUCAAGAUGGAUCAUUUUGUGCAGAACCCACGGACAUGCCUUUUCCUUGGUGCGGGCAAGGCACACAUAACUCCAGGUAUGUACUUUUCAUUAGUGAAUUGAAAGAAAGAAAAGGAAAACAUGUUAUCUGUUUGUCCACAUUGCUUCGUGAUCAUGUUCGUUUGUGAAGAAAAAUAGCACACGACAUUACUCAAUGUUUUGAAUAUUUUAUGUUUUAGUUAUAUAUUUCUUUAUAUCGUUAUCAUCCUAUUUUAAAUGAAUACAUCAGAGUUGUGUUUACUGUACUUUAAUUUUUUCUUCAUGAAAUCUCUGUUCUGUUCUGCUUGAAUUUGUAUCAAGGGACAGAGUUUGGUUCCAUGCAUAUUGCGACAACUUAAACUAUUUCUUGAGCAAAGCUUCCUGAUGGACAUCCUGCUUCACAUUUCGCAAAGGUGCUGCCCAUGGUUGCUCCAGUUACUCGAGCUCAGCGCCACCUGCUUGCAUGAGAUUUUCUCUGCAGUCACGCUGCCUCUUUAUACCUGAACCAUGAUGUGACCGCAGUACACCACUGAGGCUUGAUUAAGUCGAGAAGGCUUUGAGUGAGCUCCACAUAGCUAUUGACCGGGUCUUUGGUCACUGUCAGGCCUGAGGAAGUGCAUACUGAAAAAUACGAGGAGCAGAUGGGGUAGACCAAUGUGUUUUUUAUGUCAGAAUCAGAAUGCUAUGAGAGUUGUACAUGUGCUUUCGUGGGCCAUGGGUGUGUGUGCUUGUGGAGCGCGUGGGUUAUUUAAAGGCAUUGAUGAUGAAAUAGAAUUUUGAAUCCCAUCCACCCCAUAUCCGAACUCAACAAAAAAAGAAAGAUAAGGUUGCUAA